UACGGAGGGUGCUAGCGUUGUUCGGAAUCACUGGGCGUAAAGGGCGUGUAGGCGGUCUGUUAAGUCUGAUGUGAAAUCCCUUCGCUCAACGAGGGAACUGCGUCGGAUACUGGCAGACUUGAGUACCGGAGAGGAAGGUGGAAUUCCAGGUGUAGCGGUGAAAUGUGUAGAGAUCGGGAGGAACACCGGUGGCGAAGGCGGGUCUCCGGGCAAUUCCUGACGCUGAGGCGCGAAAGCGUGGGGAGCAAACGGG
rnacentral:rRNA from 1 species